ACAACAUUCGGACCGUCGGUCUACCGAGUAAUAUAACUUGCUCGGUGUAAGAUCUUCCCAUCGUCGU
rnacentral:pre_miRNA from 1 species